UAGCCUACGGGAGGCAGCAGUGAGGAAUAUUGGUCAAUGGGCGGAAGCCUGAACCAGCCAAGUCGCGUGAGGGAAUAAGGCCCUACGGGUCGUAAACCUCUUUUGCCGGGGAGCAAGGGCGGGGACGUGUCCCGGCCCGGAGAGUACCCGGAGAAAAAGCAUCGGCUAACUCCGUGCCAGCAGCCGCGGUAAUACGGAGGAUGCGAGCGUUAUCCGGAUUUAUUGGGUUUAAAGGGUGCGUAGGCGGUCCGUUAAGUCAGCGGUAAAAUUGCGGGGCUCAACCCCGUCGAGCCGUUGAAACUGGC
rnacentral:rRNA from 1 species